AUCGACGGCUGUACCAUCCUGAAAGCAUCCCAUCUCAUCUGACCUUGGAAGUUAAGCAGGGUUGGGCCUGGUUAGUCUUUGGAUGGAAGAAGUGACACCAGAUC
rfam:Ovis aries breed Texel chromosome 17, whole genome shotgun sequence.